rnacentral:rRNA from 1 species
UACGUAGGGUGCAAGCGUUGUCCGGAAUUAUUGGGCGUAAAGAGCUCGUAGGCGGUCUGUCACGUCGGAUGUGAAAACCCGGGGCUCAACUCCGGGCUUGCAUUCGAUACGGGCAGGCUAGAGUUCGGUAGGGGAGUCUGGAAUUCCUGGUGUAGCGGUGAAAUGCGCAGAUAUCAGGAGGAACACCGGUGGCGAAGGCGGGACUCUGGGCCGAUACUGACGCUGAGGAGCGAAAGCGUGGGGAGCGAACAGG